rnacentral:tRNA from 1 species
GGUUCGAUGGUGUAGUUGGUUUAUCACGUCAGUCUAACACACUGAAGGUCCCCUGUUCAAGCCCGGGUCGAAUCA